AUUGAACGCUGGCGGCAUGCCUUACACAUGCAAGUCGAACGGUAACAGGUCUUCGGAUACUGACGAGUGGCGAACGGGGGAGUAAUACAUCGGAACGUGCCCGAUCGUGGGGGAUAACGAAGCGAAAGCUUUGCUAAUACCGCAUAAGAUCUCCGGAUGAAAGCAGGGGACCGCAAGGCCUUGCGCGAACGGAGCGGCGGAUGGCAGAUUAGGUAGUUGGUGGGAUAAAAGCUUACCAAGCCGACGAUCUGUAGCUGGUCUGAGAGGACGACCAGCAACACUGGGACUGAGACACGGCCCAGACUCCUACGGGAGGCAGCAGUGGGGAAUUUUGGACAAUGGGCGAAAGCCUGAUCCAGCCAUGCCGCGUGCAGGAUGAAGACCUUCGGGUUGUAAACUGCUUUUGUACGGAACGAAAAGACUCUUUCUAAUAAAGAGGGUCCAUGACGGUACCGUAAGAAUAAGCACCGGCUAACUACGUGCCAGCCGCCGCGGUAACAC
rnacentral:rRNA from 1 species